AUUGAACGCUGGCGGCAGGCCUAACACAUGCAAGUCGAGCGAGCGGCGGACGGGUGAGUAAUGUCUGGGAAACUGCCUGAUGGGGGGGGAUAACGACAGGAAACGGUAGCUAAUACCGCAUACCAUCAGAUGUGCCCAGAUGGGAUUAGCUGGUAGGUGGGGUAACGGCUCACAUAGGCGACGAUCCCUAGCUGGUCUGAGAGGAUGACCAUCCACACUGGAACUGGGACACGCUCCAGACUCCUACGGGGGGCAGCGGUGGGGAAUAUUGCCCAAUGGGCGAAAGCCUGAUGCAGCCAUGCCGCUUGUGUGAGGAAGGCCUUCGGGUUGUAAAGCACUUUCAGCGGGGAGGCGUUACCUGCAGAAGAAGCACCGGCUAACUCCGUGCCAGCAGCCGCGGUAAUUC
rnacentral:rRNA from 1 species